GCAGGCCUGCCUUGGGGAACAUUCAUCUCAUUAAAGUUAAAUCACGUUUCCCUGUCUGCAUGUCUCCUCCCCACAGGAAUGUAACCUCCCAGAGGGAAAGAUUGAAGGCAAGAGGAGAAGGGGAUGACAGAGGAUGAGAUGGCUGGAUGGCAUCACCGUCUCUACGCACAUGAGUUUGGGUGGACUCCAGGAGUUGGCGAUGGACAGGGAGGCCUGGCGUGCUGCUGUCCAUGGGGUCACAAAGAACAGGACACGACUGAGCGACUGAACUGAGAGGGAAGCCACUCUCCUUUAUCUCGAAUCUCCUGUGCCCCGGGAGAGGGUACAGCCAGUUUUGCUCCAUCAGUGGUUGUCUAGCCUUAAGGAAUAGAUAGCAAUGUGUUCUUGAGCAGAAGAGACUGUUCUGCUAUGAUCUCGGAUAACCCUGUGAACAGCUAUAUGGCACCUGGGUACUUAUAAAGGCAACGUACCGCAUUUCACACUUACACAGCCCUUCCGAGUUCACAGCGCGGCACCCGGAUUCCUGCAAAACCUCCCCUGUUUGGGACGCACCAGCCUUCGUUUCACCCCGAGAAGAGCAAGGACCCAAGAAAUAGGACUGGACACCAGAAGCCGCUCAGGUGUCAUAAAAUCCGCCUGUAAACAGAAUCUGGCGUUCAACCAAACAAAAACAAGGCAUCUCUUCGAAAGUGGGGACAAGAGAGAUCACCCACUUUCCCUCAAAACAGGAACAGACAAUUUUAGUACAAUGGCUAAAUAGCAGAAUGGGUCGCAGAAGAGACAAUUUGCAACAUAGAAGACAAAAGAAAACAUAAAGGAAUAUCGGAGAGUCAAAGGAGAUAGGUCCAGAAGUUUCGAUAUCCAUCUAAGAAGCAUUCUAGAAGAAAAGCGGGGAAAUGGAAGAGAGAAAAUAAUUGAAGGAAAUUUUCUAUAGCAAAAAAAGUGAAGUGAAGUCACUCAGUUGUGUCUGACUCUUUGCGACCUGUGGACUGUAGCCCACCAAGUUCCUCCAUCCAUGAGAUUCUCCAGGCAAGAAUACUGGAGUUCAGCUCAGUUCAGACGCUCAGUUGUGUCCGACUCUUUGCGACCCCAUGAAUCGCAGCAUGCCAGGCCUCCUUGUUCAUCACCAUCUCCCGGAGUUCACUCAGACUCACAUCCAUCGAGUCCGUGAUGCCAUCCAGCCAUCUCAUCCUCUGUCGUCCCCUUCUUCUCCUGCCCCCAAUCCCUCCCAGCAUCACAGUCUUUUCC
rnacentral:lncRNA from 1 species